rnacentral:rRNA from 1 species
UACGAGAGGCCCAAACGUUAUUCGGAUUUACUGGGCUUAAAGAGUUCGUAGGCGGCUCGGCAAGUGAGGUGUGAAAUCCCUUGGCUCAACCAAGGAAUUGCGCUUCAAACUGCCGGGCUCGAGGGAGAUAGAGGUGAGCGGAACUGAUGGUGGAGCGGUGAAAUGCGUUGAUAUCAUCAGGAACACCAGAGGCGAAGGCGGCUCACUGGGUCUCUUCUGACGCUGAGGAACGAAAGCUAGGGGAGCAAACGGG